UACGUAGGGUGCGAGCGUUGUCCGGAAUUAUUGGGCGUAAAGAGCUUGUAGGCGGUUUGUCGCGUCUGCUGUGAAAAUCCGGGGCUCAACCCCGGACUUGCAGUGGGUACGGGCAGACUAGAGUGUGGUAGGGGAGACUGGAAUUCCUGGUGUAGCGGUGAAAUGCGCAGAUAUCAGGAGGAACACCGGAGGCGAAGGCGGCUCACUGGGGGUCUUCUGACGCUGAGGAACGGAAAGCCAGGGGAGCGAACGGG
rnacentral:rRNA from 1 species